CACGUAUUUAGCCGUCACUUCUUCUGUUGGUACCGUCAUUUUUUUCUUCCCAACUGAAAGCACUUUACAUUCCGAAAAACGUCAUCGUGCACACAGAAUUGCUGGAUCAGACUCUUGGUCCAUUGUCCAAUAUUCCCCACUGCUGCCUCUCGUAGGAGUAAGGGCCGUGUCUCAGUCCCCUUGUGGCCGUUCACCCUCUCAGGCCGGCUACCCAUCAUCGCCUUGGUGAGCCGUUACCUCUCCAACUAGCUAAUGGGACGCAAAGCUCUCUCACAGCGCGUAUAGCUUUCAUAAUUCUAAGAUGCCUUAAAAUCAUAAUAUCAGGUAUUAGCAUUCGUUUCCAAAUGUUGUCCCUAGCUGUGAGGCAAGUUCUUACGCGUUACUCACCCGUCCGCCACCCAAAUCUAAAGUUAAAAACCCAAUUACAAGUUGACUUGCAUGUGUUAAGCAUUCUGUCAGUCGUUCAUCCUGAGCCAGGAUCAAACUCU
rnacentral:rRNA from 1 species